AAAGCACGUAUAUCCAACAUAAAGUUUUGGCAUUUCUUUGUAAGCUUGUGUAGCAGCAAAACAAGGACAUCAAAAGGAAACAAGUGAAAUCUCACACCAAUCGCAACUAAUUAAGGUUAUCAAGCAAACUCGUGCAAAAAAAAUAAAGGUCAUCUACAAAGUGACACAAAAGCACAGCAUAAAUUCUAUGAUGGUUAAAUAUAAUACACACAAAAACAAACAUAUAUACAGUUGAGAAGGGGGAGGAAACCAUGAAUUGAAGCUUGGUUGGACCUAAGAGAAAAGCAGAAAAUCAAUUGCCAAUAUCUGACCUGCAAUACUGUGUGCAGUUCCAACCAGCAGUAGCACCUGCCAAGAAAAAUCAGUAAUUUUGUCACAAUCAUUGUUACAAAGAGAGCCCUAAAUAUUGUAGCCGUAACGACAUUAUAACAAGUUGCUCAAUAUUUUUUAUUUAUAACAAGUUGUUCAAUACAUAACUUGCAUAUUGACAUUUGGUUGAUCAAUGGCUAUACAGCUCUCAGAGCAUUAAAAACAGCUUUUAAUUGACAAAAUGAAAUUUCCACAUCAGACAUACAUUUUAAUUGUUAAACAGAACCAACUAGUUCCAGUUUAAAAUUAUGGAAUAUUGCCUCUUAUUAUUUGUUAUUGUAUUUGGCGGUAAACUUAUCAUUGUUGUUCUAUUAGAACUAAGAAUACCUGCCUGUCAAUUAAUCCCGACAAUCAUUCACAAGCAAUCUUGGUGUCAAAGCUGCUAAGGCAUAUUGCAAAUGCUUCGAAGGCAGAGAGUGGAUACUGGUAAUCCAUGGUGAAUACGUCCUUUCCAACUUUUCCAAACUGUAGAAUAACAGUUUCUUGAGCCUGCUCAGAAACCCCAUUUUUAGGAGAUGCAACCAGCUGAAAAUUUUUCACUGAAGCAACUGUUACUCGUCCAUUGAAGUUCAGACACCAGCAUUGGAGUUGUUCAUGCCACCGAGGAGACUUGUUCCGUAAUACUAGUGUUCCCUCAUUUUGAGAAGUCAAAGGCAAUGAUUGGAGAUUUUCCAUGCGGGUUGAUUUUGAUCUAAAGAAAGGGAUAGAUGGAGAAGUAUCAAUUCUGCUAUGGAGAAAUUGAGUCUGUGUAGGGGCUACACCUCCGGGUUCAACAGCUGAAGCAGGGAUGGCAUCCAUAACGCAUUGCAUUAUCCUGGGGCCUCUGAUAACAUUUUCGUAAAGGAAAGUGAGGAUUAAUCAAUAACAGAAAAAAGUCACCAAUGAUUUUCAUUACUGAUUCCCAUCCCACAUAAUUCUCUUUACCCAAAAGAGAGAUUUUUUUCAUAACAAUACCUGGAACCCAAAACAUUCAGAUCAUAUGAUACACGUGCAACAGGAUAGUUUUCAGCAGGAACUCUCGGAGAGACUUGCUUGGAACUAACUAGCCUGGUGGAACGAGACUUUGCAACUUUGGCUCCACAAAUAGGAGGAUGUGCAUCAUACACUGUGAAUUUGGUACCCAGAAAGUUGGAUCUAUUCAAAAGAGAAAAUGAGAGUAAUUUUAGGACUAGAAAAUUAUGAUUAACAAGUCAUGUUAAAUAUCAGCUAAAAUACCUCAACUUCCCAAUAUAGGUGUUGCUGCCUCUUGAUACAUCAUCGUAGUUUAGAGAGAUGAUAUAGUCUGUGUGAGUUGCACGCCGACACUUGCGUGCAGCAAGAAGGAACUUGCCAUCAUCAGUUGAGGCUACCAAAUUAUAUAAAUCAACAUCAUGAACACAUCAAAGGAUAUAGAGGAAAAGAAAAAUGGAAAUCUUCUUAAAUAUUAAAUAUUACAAGAUACAAGGAAAAAAGGAUGACUACUAAUUCAACAUGUGUCACAGAGUUUAGAAAGCAUUUUACCACACAGAUUAAACGUAAAUGUUUGAUAGCGCUCAACCGCUCACCUUGGUUUAAACUAAGGAACAGAUAAUAUAUUUGAUUACUGCGGUUUCGUUUAAUGUAGCACUGAAUAAGAGAGCCCCUUGGACCAGGCUGCAUGAUGAUAAUAAGAGCUUUAGAAUUUACAAUACUAGGAACAAGAAACAAUUAAAGCUUAACAAUAAAAUGUGGGAUAGUUAACAUUAGUCACGCAGCUCACGCUGUUGGAAUGGCUUUAUUUGUUGCACAAUAAACACACAUGGAAUACUUUUAAUUGGAGUGCAUGCAAAGCAACUUAAAACAAAUUCACACCAGAAAACAAUAUAAUACUGAAUAAUACUAAUUCUUCCAUGCUAUUAAUAAUAGGGUAUACAGUCAACACUUGUCUGGUUUCAAUGUCGAUCUGCUUCUUCACUAGCUAUGUGUUACUGGUUAGGCAAAGAGGGGUGCGCUAAUAGUAUACUACCACUCUUUUCGCGUAACAGACAUGAACGCGAUGAAUCACCAGGACUCUAAUUAAAGGAGACUUGGAUACAUUAAAAUUUUAUAACUGACAAUUGAACAACUUCAAUUGCAAACCUAAUCCAAUUUCAACAAUGUUUCUUACACACACUAUUUCAAAGUGAGGAAUGGGUUCGGAAUUCAAUUCGCUACACACCUAGUCACUAAACCAUGCCUUCACAACAAACAAAGUUUUUACUGAUUGUAGUUCCUUCAGUUAGUCAUCAUCAAGUGACACUAUAUAAAACUAAACUAAUUGAUCUAAAAUUGAAUUUAACAACAAAAUUCCUUGCAAUGAAUUAACAAAUUCAAAUGGGUCCGAACUUUUUAUCUAACUAAUUUUGUAUCAAAAUUGGAUUGAUUAUGUUCGAUUCGGAUAGUCGAACUGGUUAGACAACCCAAAUCAUUCAAAAAAUAUUUAUAAAAAAACAACCAAAACAAUAUGAUUUUGAGAUGAAAAAACUUUUAAUUUAUUUGUAAUUAUAUUUUUUGUUUGUUAACCUAUAUUAUAGAAGAACUUUCGUUGUUUAAUUAAAUUUUAAAUUUAUAUGUACUAUUGUUACAAUUAAAACAUAAAGAUAUGUUGUUUAAUGAUGUUCUCAACUUGUUUGUAACAUUUUAUAAUAGUAAAAAUUCUUUGUUGAUUAUUUCAUUCAGUAUGGAAAUAUUUUAAAUUUGAAAUAUAAAGUUAUUAAAUAAUGUUAGCUAAUAUAAUGAAUGUUUUAGAAUUUUUAAUGUAAACUGAGUCAACUAAUGCAAUCAUUAUCUCACUGAUGCAACAAAUGACUAAUUGACUCAAUGCUCUGACUAAGUCAUUGACCAGUUUGAGUCUAAUAAUAUUGUUACAAAUUUACAAUUGGAUAUGAAUAUUAUCUCACUCCACUUAUCACUUAUUGUAAUUGAUCAAAAAAUAUUUAAUAAUUAAACUUUAACUUUUUUCCAAAGAUAAUUAAAAUUUAACUUAAAUAUAUUUUUUAAUAAAUUACAAUAAAUAAAAAUGACACAUGUAUUACAUAUAAUGAUAUGAGAAUGUGAAUAAGUGAGGUAUUGUCUAUCUAUCUAUUACCUACCCAACAAAAAAAGGUGUCAAUCUCUCAAGUCCCCUUAUGACAUGUGUCAAUCUUUCAUUCAAAAUUUUCCAUCCAAAACAUGUCUAUGUUAAUCAUAUGUACCUUUCAACAUUGUAUCUUCCCCUUUUGUAAAUUGUACAUUUUAAUUCUAAUGAUUAAUGAACCAUUUGUUUUUUAUUUUAUGAAGAAAUUACAUCUCACAAUAAAGGGGAUUGAAUCUCUUUUCACAUGUGAAUUACUUCUCCAUCCAUUAUCAUUUCAUGUCUCCAUCUUCUUCUUCCCCUUUCUUUUCAUAUUUCUCUCUUCUUCCAUCUCAUAUUUACAAUCCAAUGUUUCAUUCGUCAAUAUUCACAAGCCUAAGAUAUAGAUUCAUGUCAUUAAAUAGAUAUCAUCUUAGUACGGGCGGACGAGAGUUGUUAAUGUAUUCCUUAAAAUGUAAUAUUCUAAAACUUCGAAAUCCAAUUCAAAUGUCAUAUUUUCUAAAAUUGGGUAUACACAAGGUUCCUUUUCAUUUCCAUCACCUCCUCCUACUCUUGGAAGGUUAGAGGUUGGGCGUGACAAUGCUAAAUAGAGAAAGAGCAAAAAUACAUGGACAAAUGUGAAGUUGUAUAUGAUAAUUAUGCAACUCUUAUUCUCUAAACUAGGUUCUUUGGUGCUUUGUAGUAUGUGUCAAGUGGAGGAUAUGAUCUAUUAAUUUAUCCUUCUAGACCGAGUUAGCAUUUAAUUAUCAACUAAUCUUAAUCGUGUGAAUGGCAUAUGAUUACAUAUACUCAAAUGUUCAGAAGAGAAUAUUGAUGUGUAUCGUGGCCUUUUUUACCAGAUUUGAAUAGAAUUAUCUUUAGUUUUGCUAACCUAGGUAAAAAUGAUUUUUAGUUGGAAUAAGUUAGUAUUAUGCACCAACAUUUUUGGACAAAAUUAAUCCUCAUAUUUUAAUUGUAAUAGAUUUAGUAAAAGAGUUAGUAAUAAGGAUAGUUUCAUAAUUUCCAUUUAAAACAAAUUACCCCUCAUCCCUAACCUGCUUUCUCCUCACCCAUUAACAUGGUUAUCUCAAAACACCAAAAACGCCUCCACCACCAGAGCCGCUGCACACCAACUGUCAGUAUUGUGCCCCAUCCCGAACUCACACCGUCGCACCACCUAAUACUUCCCCACAUUGUUUCUUAAAGUGAUGAAACGAUGCUAUAUUUAAGUUGUGCAUUUGCCAUUUUUUGUGCAGGUGGAUCUUGUCCUUAUGAAGAAAAUGCCAAUAUGUCAUCAUGGAUUAUUUCAAUCUCUGUGUGAAGGGGAUGUUGGUCUGACAACAAUGCAACGGUUCUGGUGGUGGAAGGGUUAUCUGUGUUUCAGGGUUAAGAAACAACAUGUGACAGUCAUGGACGAUGUAGUGGCGUGGGCUUGGGGUGGGAUGUGAUGCCAACAGUUGGUAUAUGGUAGCCGCCAAUGGAGGUUUUUUUGCGUUUUGGGACAAUUAGGUAAACGGGAGAAGGGAAGAAGGUUAGGGAUGAGGGGUAAUUUUUUGAAAUGGAAAUUAUAAAACUAUCCUUAUUACUAAAUUCAUUGCAAUUUGAAUAGAAGGGUUAAUUUUGUCCAAAAAUUUUCUUGCACAAUGCUAACAUACUCCAACUGAAAAUUCUCUUUACCUAGAUUAGCAAAACCCUUAUUUUUAUUAUGAAUUUUUGUCAUUAAAUAAAUAAAUAUAUAUAUAUAUACUAUUAAUAAAUAUAUACUAAGCCAAAACAAGUAGUAACCACCAUGUAUGUCAUAAUUUUUAAAUUUCAUUUUAUCCUUUUCAACCUCCCUCCUUAAUAAAUGGAAACUUUUACAUUUUGCUUUCAUUUUUUCAUUAAUACAUUAUUACUCAUCCAUACGUUCUUUUCUCUCUUUCUCAACCAAAAAUAAAACAAUAACACAUGAAAAAUAUAUCCAACAACUUAAUAAUGAUUAUUAGAUACACAAAAUGAGAAAUUUAUAGAAGUUUUGUGUAUACCGUAUCAAUUAUUACACAAGUAUACUCUUAAAUUUACAUUUUUAUUAAGUGUCGGCCGACACGCUAGUAUAAAUAAUAGACACACAAGUAUAUUAACGGUUCAAAAAUUAUUGUAAAUUCAAACAGCCGCGGAAUACCACUGGUAUACUCAAAUUAAAAGAAAGCACGUAUAUCCAACAUAAAGUUUUGGCAUUUCUUUGUAAGCUUGUGUAGCAGCAAAACAAGGACAUCAAAAGGAAACAAGUGAAAUCUCACACCAAUCGCAACUAAUUAAGGUUAUCAAGCAAACUCGUGCAAAAAAAAUAAAGGUCAUCUACAAAGUGACACAAAAGCACAGCAUAAAUUCUAUGAUGGUUAAAUAUAAUACACACAAAAACAAAC
rnacentral:lncRNA from 1 species